rnacentral:rRNA from 1 species
AAUAGCGGAGGAAAGAACCCAACAGGGAUUGCCCUAGUAACGGCGAGUGAAGCGGCAACAGCUCAAAUUUGAAAGCUGGCUUAGGCCCGCAUUGUAAUUUGCAGAGGAUGCUUUUGGUGAGGUGCCUUCCGAGUUCCCUGGAACGGGACGCCACAGAGGGUGAGAGCCCCGUAUGGAUGGACACCAAACCUGUGUAAAGCUCCUUCAACGAGUCGAGUAGUUUGGGAAUGCUGCUCAAAAUGGGAGGUAAAUCUCUUCUAAAGCUAAAUACCGGCCAGAGACCGAUAGCGCACAAGUAGAGUGAUCGAAAGAUGAAAAGCACCUUGAAAAGGGGGUUAAACAGUACGUGAAAUUGUUGAAAGGGAAGCGCUUGUGACCAGACUUGCGCCGGGCGGCUCAUCAGGGGUUCUCCCCUGUGCACUCCGCCCGGCUCAGGCCAGCAUCGGUUCUCGUGGGAGGAUAAGAACGGUAGGAAUGUGGCCCCCUCUCGGGGGGGUGUUAUAGCCUGCCGUACGAUACUCUCGUGGGGACCGAGGUUCGCGCUCCGCAAGGAUGCUGGCGUAAUGGUCAUCAGCGACCCGUCUUGAAACACGGACCAAGGAGUCGUCCAUUAGAGCGAGCGUUUGGGUGUCAAACCCGCACGCGUAAUGAAAGUGAACGCAGGUGAGAGCUUCGGCGCAUCAUCGACCGAUCCUGAUGUUCUCGGAUGGAUUUGAGUAAGAGUUUUAACGGAACGGACCCGAAAGACAGUGAACUAUGCUUGGUAUAGGGUGAAAGCCAGAGGAAAACUCUGGUGGAGGCUCGCAGCGGUUCUGACGUGCAAAUCGAUCGUCAAAUAUGAGCAUUGGGGGCGAAAGACUAAUCGAACUGUCUAGUACUGGUACGCA